rnacentral:rRNA from 1 species
GUGGAUGAGGCAUGCAAGUCGAGCGACAAGGUACUUCGGUACUGGAGGAGCGGCAAACGGGGUAGUAAGACAUCGGAACGUACCCUCUUGUCCGGGAUACCCGCGGGAAACUGCGGUUAAUACCGGAUAAUCCCGAAAGGGCAAAGGUCCGCCGCGGGAGGAGCGGCCGAUGCGAUAUCAGCUAGUUGGUGAGGUAACGGCUCACCAAGGCUUAGACGUCUAGGCGGAUUGAGAGAUUG